GAUGAACGCUGGCGGCGUGCCUAAUACAUGCAAGUCGAGCGAACUUUUGGGAGCUUGCUCCCUAAAGUUAGCGGCGGACGGGUGAGUAACACGUUGGUAACCUGCCUGUAAGACUGGGCCAACUUCGGGAAACCGGAGCUAAUACCGGAUAACAUUCAAGACCACAUAGCCUUCAUUUAAAACGUGCCAUUUAGCUAUCACUUACAGUUGGACCCGCGCCGCAUUAGCUAGUUGGUUAGGUAACGCGUCACCAAGGAGACGAUGCGUAGACGACCUGACAGGGUGAUCGGCCACACUUGGACUGGGACACGACCCAGACACCUACGGGAGGCAGCAGUAGGGAGUAUUACGCAAUGGACGAAAGUCUGACGGAGCAACGCCGCGUGAGCGAAGAAGGCCUUCGGAUCGUAAAGCUCUGUUGUUAGGGAAGAAGAAGGAUCGUUCGAAUAAGGCGGUUCCUUGACAGUACCUAACAAGAAAGCCACGGCUAACUACGUG
rnacentral:rRNA from 1 species